rnacentral:rRNA from 1 species
GACGAACGCUGGCGGCGUGCUUAACACAUGCGAGUCGAACGGAAAGGCCCUGCUUUUGUGGGAUGCUCGAGUGGCGAACGGGUGAGUAACACGUGAGUAACCUGCCCUUGACUUUGGGAUAACUUCAGGAAACUGGGGCUAAUACCGGAUAGGAGCUCCUGCUGCAUGGUGGGGGUUGGAAAGUUUCGGCGGUUGGGGAUGGACUCGCGGCUUAUCAGCUUGUUGGUGGGGUAGUGGCUUACCAAGGCUUUGACGGGUAGCCGGCCUGAGAGGGUGACCGGCCACAUUGGGACUGAGUUACGGCCCAGACUCCUACGGGAGGCAGCAGUGGGGAAUAUUGCACAAUGGGCGGAAGCCUGAUGCAGCAACGCCGCGUGCGGGAUGACGGCCUUCGGGUUGUAAACCGCUUUCGCCUGUGACGAAGCGUGAGUGACGGUAAUGGGUAAAGAAGCACCGGCUAACUACGU